rnacentral:rRNA from 1 species
GAUGAACGCUAGCUACAGGCUUAACACAUGCAAGUCGAGGGGCAGCAUGGUCUUAGCUUGCUAAGGCCGAUGGCGACCGGCGCACGGGUGAGUAACACGUAUCCAACCUGCCGUCUACUCUUGGACAGCCUUCUGAAAGGAAGAUUAAUACAAGAUGGCAUCAUGAGUCCGCAUGUUCACAUGAUUAAAGGUAUUCCGGUAGACGAUGGGAUGCGUUCCAUUAGAUAGUAGCGGGGUAACGGCCCACCUAAAGCCGACGAUGGAUAGGGGUUCUGAGAGGAAGGUCCCCACAUUGGAACUGAGACACGGUCCAAACUCCUACGGAGGCAGCAGUGAGGAA